CGGCGAGGGCCCCGGCAUCGCCGCCGCGGGGGAAGCGCAGGAGGCGAGGAGAGCGCGAGCGCUGAGCUGGGCGAGAGGACGGCGCGGCGGGCCGGGCGAUCAUCAAGACGUUACCAGGACGCGAGUCUGUGACACCCCACGUGGGCCAUCCGAAUUUUCCUUCCCCGCAGUCACAUCAUGGGUACCUUUUCUUCGUA